rnacentral:rRNA from 1 species
UACGGAGGGUGCAAGCGUUAAUCGGAAUUACUGGGCGUAAAGCGUGCGCAGGCGGUUCGUUGUGUCGGCGGUGAAAGCCCCGGGCUCAACCUGGGAAUGGCCGUUGAAACUGGCGAACUGGAGUGUGGCAGAGGGGGGUGGAAUUCCGCGUGUAGCAGUGAAAUGCGUAGAGAUGCGGAGGAACACCUGUGGCGAAAGCGGCUCACUGGACCAUUACUGACGCUGAUGCACGAAAGCUAGGGGAGCAAACAGG